ensembl:lncRNA
ACACACACACACACACACACACACACACACACACACACAGUGUUAGGGUUUUAUCGUUUCUCAUUUGCUGACCAAAAGGUCCCAGAAUAUAUGACAUGCAAGAAGCACACACACAUAAACGAUUUUACAUGUAGUCUUUGCAGAGAGGCACCCCACACACACACACACACACACACACACGCACACACAUUCUUAUACUUACAUUAUACUUUAUUUAUAUAUACACACACACUCUCUCUCUCUCCCACACACACACACAUGGAGCAUGGAUGGAUUAAAGAGAACAUCUGAAUAAGGAACACGUUCAUUUUGAGGGAAGACUGAAGAAGAAUAAAGAAGGUGGAUUCUUUCUGAAAGUGUUUUCAGCGUGUAUUCAUCUGAUUCAUCAUCUGUGUGUCAGUGAGUGUGAGUGAGUGAGUGUGUGUGUAUCAGCUGUUAGAUGAUGUUGGAGAUGAAACGAGUUGUUCUCCUGCUCUCUGUCCUGCUCCUGACCUGCGCUGCUCCUCUGCAGCAGAAUAAUGAGGUGAGCAGUUCACAGGAAUCCCAGGUUACCUCACGGGUCAAUCAGUUUUGGGGAACCCCAGGAAGUGACAUCAUAAUCACGGCACCGGCAGGUUUUGGAAAACCCAACGAGAAUGGCCAGAGCACCGUUACAGUCAGUUUACGGGACGAGAAUACCAAGGUUUCCGUUGAUGUCGUGAGCUUCAUCUUCUCUGUGAGCAGUGAGGAAAUGUCUACAUCUAAGCUUGGAGAAAGCAACGGAGGAUUCAGUGAUGAAGGAACGCAGGAUAAUGGGGCUCGACCUGGCAGAACCGAAGAGGAAAACAACCCUGAUAGUGACGGGGAGGGGAGUGAAGAGGGAUUUGAACCAACAGCUGGACCUGAGGUGCGAAACAGUGAUGAAGAGUUGGACAAACGCGAGGAGGAAACUCCAAAUCUAAGAGAUGAUAAGAGUGAUGAAGAUCAGUCUGACACCAGAGUUGACUCUGAAGAAUAUGACCCAGACCAUCCAAAAGUCUUUGAAAUGUCAACCACCUCAGAUACAACCAGCUUACAGGAGGACACAAAUGAGUCUGAUUCUGGAUCAGAGCACCAAAAGACCAAGGUCCAUACUGACAGCAAAGAAACUUCUGCCCCACACUAUCUCUCCAGACAACUCUCAGGUCUCACAGUUCUUGCAUCUACCUUAAUCCAUGAGGAAACCAUUUCAGCAGAAGCAAAUGGCAAAGGAACCGACCCUAGAUCAGAUAUUUCCUCUGUAGAAGGUCAGACUGUUCCCUCAAACUCAGAACCCAUGUUAGGACCUUUUCAGACAGCUUCAUCACUCAGCUCCAGCUCGGAGGAGGAAACAGAUGAUGAGUGUAAGACAAGUGUCACUGAUCCAACACCGAAAAUGACCCCAAGUCACAAAUCAGGUCCAGAGUCUGUGGUAAAUACAGAAGUGGUGAAGAAGAAUGAAGGUUCUCCAACACCUUUCUUCUCUGGUUCAGACUUUGAAUAUGUUAAUGAUGACUGGCAGUAUGAUCCCAGAUAUUAUGACCCAUACAGGAACCAUCCUGAGUAUGCUGCAGCGUAUGACCCCUAUGGUGCAGGGUAUGACCCUUAUCAAGCAGGGUAUGACCCUUAUCAAGCAGGGUAUGACCCCUAUGGUGCAGGGUAUGACCCUUAUCAAGCAGGGUAUGACCCUUAUGGUGGAGGUUAUGACCCAUAUCGUGCAGGAUAUGACCCCUAUGGUGCAGGUUACGACCCCUAUGGUAAAAGGUAUGAUCCCUAUCAAGCAGGAUAUGACAACCAGGACCCAUAUCAUGAAACAGAGAGUGAAGAUCCAAGACACGACAUAGAGCAAGAAACCACUCCAGCAUACUCAGUUGAAGAAAACGAGAGUCGUCCUACAGAGAUUUCAAAUAACCAGGAUAACUCACACAGUGAAGAACAACCCCUGUCACCCUCCAUUUCACCAUCAAGUACACCAGUAUCACUUCCUGAAGGUUAUGAGAACAUGGAUUCUGCACACAACAUGCCAUCAGAAGAACCAUCAAACUCCAGCUCUAUUGAAACCAGCAGAGAAAUGGGACUGAGGGCUUCCACCAGUCCUCCAGAUCCCGCUGUGUCCAACAGUGAAGAGGGUACCAAAACCCGAGCUGAUGCUGUGGGCUCCAGCAGUGAGGAGAGCGUUGAGACCACAGACUCUGAACAAGAGAGCCAGAAUACAAUGGACCAGCCAGGAAACCAGGGAACUCCUGAUCCAUCUUCCCACAUGUCUCUGCUUCAGGUCAUCCAGGAGGUGAACAAUGAAGAAGAACCUCAGAGUCAGUCAAAUGCAGAUCUCAUACCCACAUUUAGUUCAGAAGAAGAUGAUCCAUUGGUCAACACAAUCGAGCGCAUCGUGGCUCUUGCAUUCAAAGGUGGAUCCAAUGAAGAAGCUACUGUUGUUGGGACGAACCCUGACUCUAGCCCCUCAGACAACACCAUCUCUGAAAACAACCAAAAUGAAGAAUCAUUUUCAAAUGAAUCUGCAACCGGUAGCCCAGGAAUCAGUUCAGAAGUGACUCGUGAAUCAGUGGACCUCACUACAGAGAGCCCAGUACUCAAUUCUGAAUCAGUUUCCAACAAGCGAUUCACUUGUUAGCAAUGAAGACGCCUCCAGUGAGAGCACCACGCCAAAUCUGAGCGCUAGCCCGCACAUUACAACUCAGAACAGCGGAGGAUUAGCUGAUAGUGCUGAAGCUAAUGCUAAUGCUAACACUGCUAAUGACAGCGUGGAGUCCCAGGAGUCUCAGAUCAUUACCACAUCCACAGUGUUCUCCAUUGCUAGCCAACCAAGCCACUUGCAGAACAAUGAAAACAGCAGUGAUGAGGAAAACACACGAGACAGGAAGGCCAACCAGGGGAUAAUCAGUCAAUUUCCUGUAGAGACACCCGCUAAAGUAAUAGCCGCUAAUCUCUGGACGUCUUUCCUCCAAGCCCUGAAUGUUCCCAUUCCUAAUCAAAGUGGAAAAUCAGUCCGAAAAAAUGUCCAAAGGCCACAAAGUACCAGACGUUAUCAUCAGCGUAGCAACAGGAGACAAAAAUCUGACAGCAGUGAGGAAAGUAAAUAAAAUAAAAUUAAAUAUGCGUAAACUUAGCACGUUUUUCACAAUUAAAGGCGAAGUCAGGAAUUGCUAAUGAAAAGUUGGGGCUUGGUCCUGCAACAUAAGCAGUUUAUUAGGUUAGCAUGUUAGCAUUCAUACACACUAUUCGCAAUCAUAUUCUGUGUUAGCGACCAUGUUAUCCUUUAACAAACAUGCACACAGUUAGCAAAUGAUUCUCUUCUAGCAUAGAUCUCUGGAGCAGCCAUGACACUGUUUAAACAAGUUUCCUGAUUGGAGCUUUAAUGUUUUUUGUUUUGUUUAGUUUUAAUUCCUCAUGUGGUUGAUGUAGGUCUGUUUUCUCCUCUCAGGAAUGAAUUGCUGUAUUUCUGGAAUGGAAAUGUGAUCCAGAUUUAAACACAAACAUCUUUUACCUCGAAGAAAACGAGAUGUAAUGAUACUGAUAGCUUAAUAAAAAUUCUGUAUUGCAAGUUUAUCAAUAUAAUGACCUGGGAAAAGUUUUUUAUUUCCAGACUGAUCUUGUACUCCAAAAGCAUGAUUUCUAUUUAAAUGAUCAAUAAAUAAAAUAAAUAAAUCUCAUAAUGCAAUGGUUCAUGCAGCUGUAACAGUUUCCUGUGUGUUUAUUCACUGUGUGUUCAUAAUGGAUUACUUUAAAGGUUAUUACUUU